AUUGAACGCUGGCGGCAUGCCUUACACAUGCAAGUCGAACGGUAAGGCCCUUCGGGGUACACGAGUGGCGAACGGGUGAGUAACACGUGGGUGAUCUGCCCUGCACUUCGGGAUAAGCCUGGGAAACUGGGUCUAACACCGGAUAGGACUCCGGACUGCAUGGUCUGGGGUGGAGAGAAUUUCGGUUCGGGAUGGACUCGCGGCCUAUCAGCUUGUUGGUGAGGUAAUGGCUCACCAAGGCGACGACGGGUAGCCGGCCUGAGAGGGUGACCGGCCACACUGGGACUGAGACACGGCCCAGACUCCUACGGGAGGCAGCAGUGGGGAAUAUUGCACAAUGGGCGCAAGCCUGAUGCAGCAACGCCGCGUGAGGGAUGACGGCCUUCGGGUUGUAAACCUCUUUUAGUAGGGAAGAAGCGAAAGUGACGGUACCUGCAGAAAAAGCACCGGCUAACUACGUGCCAGCAGCCGCCGUAA
rnacentral:rRNA from 1 species